rnacentral:rRNA from 1 species
GAUGAACGCUAGCGGCAGGCCUAAUACAUGCAGGUCGAACGGGAUCCAGAUCAAAGCUUGCUUUGGUCUGGUGAGAGUGGCGCACGGGUGCGUAACGCGUGAGCAACCUACCCUUGUCAGGGGGAUAGCCCGGCGAAAGUCGGAUUAAUACCGCAUGACAUCAUUGAGAGGCAUCUUUCGAUGAUCAAAGAUUUAUCGGACAAGGAUGGGCUCGCGUGACAUUAGCUAGUUGGUAAGGUAACGGCUUACCAAGGCUGCGAUGUCUAGGGGCUCUGAGAGGAGAAUCCCCCACACUGGUACUGAGACACGGACCAGACUCCUACGGGAGGCAGCAGUAAGGAAUAUUGGUCAAUGGACGGAAGUCUGAACCAGCCAUGCCGCGUGCAGGAAGACGGCCCUAUGGGUUGUAAACUGCUUUUAUACGGGAACAAACGUCGGUACGUGUACCGGUCUGAGUGUACCGUAAGAAUAAGGAUCGGCUAACUCCGUG